CAGGCGAGCGCAGGCACGCACGCCCGGCCGGGGGUGCAGCCGGUGCAGCCUCGGGUCCAGAGACCCCCACACCGCGCGAGGGGCCCCUGGAGCCGGGCCACGAGAGAUCAGGCGAGCAGAGAGAAUGAACCGUUUCGGCUCAGGUCUUCGUCCUUGGCUCAGCACAAACGGAGAGCCCAGCGCGUGGCCGGAGCCGGGGCCGCGGCGACCAGGGCGGUGGCGACAGCGCUCACGGCGGCCCCGGAUCCCGUGACUUCGGGAGGUCGCAGCUCGAGGCACCCGCGGACCAGCUGCCAAAGAAUAUGGGUUCAAUUUCAUCCCCUCCGAGCACCCGUGUGCGAACGUACAGCUGUUCUGAAGCACUGACAGCCUUGACUUGUAGCUUCACGAGGUUUGAAGCAUAUAACUGGAAACCCUGGACGCCAGGCAGGAAGCGACCAGAGAACUUUCAGACGCAGUUGGAGAAAGGGGGGGGGUGGUUUGUCGCCCGGGACUAGAGGAGCAGCACGGCAGAGGCACCUGGAGAACUUCCAGACCCAAGCCUAACACCAGAACGAAGCCCAGUGGCAAGCAUCGUCACUCCAGAAAUCAGGACCACCUCAGCGUGAACAUGAAGGCCAUCAGCGUGUGCGGAGCCCAAGAUGAGUCAGACUCUGGAAUCAUCUGACAAAGAUUUUAAAGCAGCUGUCAUAAAACAAUGCUUCAGCAAACUAUGACAAAUUCUUUUAAAACAUGAAAUCUAGAAAAUUUCAGCAAUGGAAGUUUUUAGGCCUCCGGUCUCGGUGUCUGUUACUAAACUGCUUCUAUAAACCUCAUAGGUAUCACGGUCUGUAAUUUUCUGAAUUCUUUAGCAGCAGAACCCUCCUCUCUGUUUGUAAUAUAAAAUCUUACACGGAAUUUUAGCACAUAAUAAAGAUAAGAUAAUA